rnacentral:tRNA from 1 species
CUCUUCCUCCCCAAUAUUUGGGGAAUGGGAGUUUCACGCCCAGAAAACCCGGUGCUGGUCCCUGUAGCCACUCUAGCCUGCCGUGGGUCCCCGCUGGCCUUGUUGCUGGUCACCUCCCAGAACUUUGGGGUAUAGUGUUGACAACAUUGGCCCGGCUUCCAAGGAGAGGCCGCGGGAAGACCACUCUCUGUCACUGCCCAGCCCCACGCCUGGGCAAAGCCCCUCCUCCACACACAAGCACCGGUGUCUGUGUAGCGCAUCGUCCUGAGGAUCUGAGAUGUCACCAGGUUUCAUGUGCGGACAACGACAGUGUGAAGGUCAACAUCUGAUCUCAGGAUUCCUAAAGGCCACAGCGCCGCUUGGCCUGCAGAAGUUGCCCGGCCAGGAUCCAGCCCCGCCCAGCAGCACAAUGCACCAUAGGGGCAGCAAGGCUGGAUCCUUAACCCCCUGCACCACUAGGUAACUCCCAUGAACUGCACUUCUGAACGACGGCUGUACCUCUGAACCGCAAGGAGCUCUGCGAUCCUUUACCCAGAUGCCCAGCUGCUUGUUCUCCAAACCCUGAAAAGUCACCGUGUUCUUUAGUUUUGAGAUGGUUGCCUUCAGCCGAAGUUGACUUUUAAAGCUUGAAUAAGACCUGAAAUUGUCUUCAAGAAUCUCACAACCUAAACUUACACUUCUGUGUGUGGAUAUUUCGGCCUCUGCAAAGCUUCUCAGCCCCGUGAGGGCUCACUCCUUGCAGCCACGGACCCUGGGGGUUUGGCUACAAAACAGAAUCCAGUGCUGCCCCAUCCCACAGAGAAUGACUGGGCUGAGCAGGGGGAAACGAGGGACACUAAGAAACGCUGACCCAGCAGUUGCUCCUGGAAGAAGCCAUUAAGGUCAAGGCAGAAAUAAUGGCCACUUCAACAGGAACAGGAGAUGCAGAACACAAGAGGCUGGGCCAGCAGGGCUGGGCUGAGUUUACCUGGGUCUGAGCAGCCUUCCUAGAAGCCUUGCUAGAGCCAGUUCUCAACUUAGCUGCAGACCAGGGGCUCUGGGGAGUGGGGACGGUCCCUGGGCUCCAGCCCAAACACGCUGAGCUUAUUGGUCUGGGGUGGGGCCUGGGAAAGGGCACUUUCAUAGACUCUUCAGGUGCUUCUCAUUGACAUUUAGAACUAAGAACCGCAACAACCAUAGUAAAGCUUCACCAUUUGCUGGUUCCAGAAAAAACAAAACAAAACAACAAAAUUUUAUGUUGUGCCUCAUAAAGAAGUUGAAAUGCAGCAUGAAUUACAAAGGUCAAGAAUCAGGAAAAAUAGGGGGCACCCAGACUUGAACUGGGGACCUCUUGAUCUGCAGUCAAAUGCUCUACCACUGAGCUAUACCCCCUUCUGCUAUAUGUGGUGACAAUUAAUACUGUUCAUCAGUCUAGCCACGCCCAGGCUGCCUGUAAAUCUAAGAGCCGCCACUUCAGGAAGGACCUCUUUUGGGAACUGGCAAACCACUCUUCAGCCUGCCACCUAAGAAGCAACAAGCUCUGUCCUCAAAAGCCCUGCAGCCUGUGUCCACCCACCCCGCCCCAGCCAAGGGCCCCAGGGUGUGAGCAGCAGCCGGGAGAAGCCUUGACGUUGGCUGUAGAAUGGCCUUCAGAGUCAGAGGCCUGGCUCCAUCAUGGUGGGCACCUAAAAAACAGACACUGCCGGUGACUGAGAUGUCUGUGCAAACCCAUUUAAUGCGGCCUGACUCUCAUGGGCCGACCGUCGGUUCAGGGCACUUUCUGCUAAACUACAGUCUGGGACAAAAAUGACCCUCCUCUUCUGCAGUUAAUAGAGAUGGAGAAUCAUGGAGGUGAUCCACUCCUAGGAACCGUCAGGAGUAGGCGGCUGAGUGAAUUUAGGAAUCAUCCAAAUUAUCCCUGAGCUAACAUGAUGCAAGGACCAGGCCAUGCUGCUGGAGAGGAACCAUACUGAGCCCCGGGGCCCUCUGAUCCGUGGGCAAAUCUGUCUGCACACUCACGCCAAGACCUGCUUCUGCUCUUGUCCAGGAAGCUGGGAACCUUCUCUUUGGAAAACCGAUGUUGGGAGCUCUCCCUCUCACCCCCCAGCUUCUCCCUCGGGGCCUCGGCAGCCCAGCAGUUGCUUUUCCUCCUCCCCUGGCUGAGAAGCUGGGGAGAGGCUGACCUUGACCGUGAUGCUGAGGUGGAAGGAGACCCGGGGCAGGGCUCUGCGGGAGACGCCAGCCUUUGCUCUGCCCACUAACAAACUUAGAAGGCCCGCAACUGGGAGAAAGAGCGGCCACCAGAGGAAAAGGCAACAAGGGGAGCCCUGGAGGAGACUUGUGGGUGACUGGGGGGGAGGUGGGGGGGGCAGGCAGGGAGGAGGGACCCGGCCUGGAACCCCAGCUGGGUGAGGCCCACAGAGCCCCUACCUGCCCUGCUCUCUCCCCAGACACGCCUCGGCCCUAAGAUCUAAGUGACAGCGAAGCAGGUGCCUCCCAGCCACAGCAGGCCCUCCACCCCUGAGCCUCUGUAGAAGUCUUUCCUGCUGCCUGAAAUGCCCUCCUUCCCGGCCCUCGAGGACCAGGCCCUGCACCCAGGAGGCUUCUCAUUGGCUUCCUUCCUCUGCACCAGGCGCGGGCGGUCUGCUUCCGCAUCAAAACUACUCAGCCUCCCUGGCCACAAGUUUCUAGGGGAGCCGCAGGGGAGACUUCUUUAGAGACCGGAAGGAAAUUCAAGCAGCACAAGCAGUCCAGUGACCUUUCCUUGAGAGAAUCAGCCUCCACCCAAUCCCAGCGCCUCUGCCCCUGGGAACAGAGAGACAAGCACCUCUCUGCUCCGGUGGUUCGUGACCUUCUCCAGAGGACGUGGGCCCUGGCGCUUCCUGUCCACUGGAAGAAGAGCUCAGCAUCUGCUGAGUCCAAAAUCAUGGCCUUUCAAAGACACUCCCUGAAACAGCAGUUGAACAAGAAAAGGACUCGCACAGCCACCAUCUGUCUGUUGACCUGAGGCACCUUGAAGAGAUCCUGCCCAAGCUCUUUGGAGACACGUGCAGGACCUACACCUGAAGAAAAAUAAAUUUUUAAAUAUUUUAACCUUCUAUCAAGUGACAUGUAAUUUAUCUGCCGAUGUUAGUUGUUCAUCUGUACAGUUUUGGAUUUUCUGCACACCUAAUAAUACCUAUAUUGUUGGGGAGUUCCCACUGUGGCCCAGCAGGGAUCAAGAGCAUCUCUGGGAGUUCCCAUCAUGGCUCAGCAGUUAACAAACCCGACCAGCAUCCAAGAGAACACGGGUUCGAUCCCUGGUCUCACUCUGUGGGCUGAGGAUCCAGCGUUGCCGUGAGCUGUGGUAUAGCCGGCAGCUACAGCUCCGAUUGGACCCCUAGCCUGGGAAACUCCAUAUGCCACAGUGUCAUUGCUGGGGUUGGCCGUGUUCUGAACAGCGUGGACGUGUCACAAAAGGGCUACAAGAUUUCUGUGCAUCAUUAAAGUAUGACGACUCAACACAACUUCCAGUUUGCGGAGGGCCGUUUCACGCAGUGGCCGGCCCACAAGGCAGGCACAGUCUUGGCUCCCUCCUCGAGUGCCAUGGCGUGAAUGUCUGUGAAGGGCUGGUCCACAGCCAGCCGGUCCUAGAGACGGGCAGAGCCUCCCCGCAGAAGAGCUGGAAAGGAGGUGGCCCCUCAGAGCCCCCUGUGGCUCCUCCUGAGCGAUUCUAGAAAGAACCCAGUGCCCGCCCCAUAGAGGAAGUCCAGAGCCAACGCUGGUUCUCCAGCUCUGAGGGCUGCAGGGCAGGUUCUCUGUGCAAGCUCUUGGUACCUUCUUUCCCUUGGGUGUGAGAAAGGCAUGUGUGAGAGGCAUCAAGCUUGAACAGACACCACCUGGAGUCAAGGACAUCUUCCCUGAUGCCCAGCCAACUUCUGCCAAGCCCUGGUAUGGGUCAGGAUGGGCCGGGGUCUGCUGCAGUAACUGUGAAACCCAAAGUCAUGGGGCUUAUUACAGUAACGGCUCGUUUCACGCUUGUGCUACGUGCUCAUCAGAAGUUGGCUAGGAGACCUAUUCGAGGUCACCAGGAUAGAGGCUGAUAGAAUAAUCACCUUCUCCAAUAUUGCCGGUCACCAUGGCAAAGGGAAAGAAAUCUUUGAAAGGCCCCAAUUAAAUGCUUAGCUCAGAAAUGACAACUCAUCGGCCAGAACACAUCACAAUCCAAUCCAGGCAGAAAAGGCCAGGAAGCACAAUCCAGCCGCAUCCGUCAGGGAAGUGAACUAGAAAUAUUGGGUGAAGAGCAGUAUGACCUUGCUGAAAGGCCUAGGACUGGACGUUUGGGCCAUGUGCCCGGUGCCAAGGGAAAACCUCAGAACUAAGGGACCAGAGGGAAAAACGCGGGCUGUGCUCAAGCACAGAGGCACCUGCAGGAGAUCCCGGGGUCAGCACCCCCCACAUCUAAACAGUCUGAACCGCCUGCUUCAGCCUCUCCCCUCCUGGGGCUGACAUGUGGUCUCAUGGUCACCAGCCUCGCCAGGCUCCUUCAGAGGGGGCUAUGGGUGCGCAGUGCCCUUGCUCCGCAGAGGAGGUGGGGUGGGAGUGGUGACAGCCCAGAGGAGAGUGCCUUCUUGGGACCAUAGUUCGUCACACUGCAUAGAACAAGGAGUCAAGAUUCGUAUUAAGUGAGACAAAGAACAUAUGCAUGACUGGAGUUGACACAACAUUGUAAAUUAACCAUAAUUAAUUUUUUAAAAUUUAAAGGCUUAAAACAUAAAGAUUUGUAUGAAGUGGUUCAUUUAUGCUCUGUAAACCUACCCUGUACCAGACACGGUAGGGGAGAGGAGAGAAAGGAGAUCUGAAGGCUGCAGGGCCAGCUACCCAGGAUGCUUUGCAGUGAGUGGAUCCCAGUCUUUAGUGGCAGGUUGGGUGGGUCGUUAUUCCCCAGGUUCAGGUGUGUAUCCGAGCCCCACUCCCACCCCACCCAUAAACCCUACUAGGAGCUUGUUAAAAAUAGACCUUCUUUCUAAAAAGCUUUCCCCACAAUAGUAAGGACCCAUUCCCAGAGAUUUAGAUUCAGCAGCUCCAGGAAUUGGCCCGCUCGCAAUUCUCUGCUUGGCUGAUGGUGAGGUGACAGGCGGUGUCACGGGAUUAACACUGUCAGUCCUCAGGCUCUGAGGCCCGGGGGCCGUGUGUACUUAACAUCUUCCAUUUGGUGGGAGUUUGAGCAUCUAUAAAACAACUCAGGAAACAUGCAUCAGAUUCCCUUAUCUGGGCACUUCAAAAGAAAGCUAGGGCAGAGGAUGUGGGGAGGGGUCUGUCCCAGGAAGGCCCAGGUGGGGUCCUGCUUGGUUACACUUUGAACAAAAGAAAAAUCAAGGACUUGACUAUGAAGCUAAGGAAGCUUCAGAGCACACCCCUUGCGCCAGCUCUUACCUUCUCUUCAAAAUUUGUAAUUCUGUGAAGGUUUAUUUUCUUAAAAAUAGUCCCCGAAUUAUACAAGCUUCCGGCCCACAAAACAGGGGUCUGGGAGAGGGGAGGCAUGAUUUGGAAAGGAUAAAAAACACGGGGAAGAAGAGCGAGAGGAAAAAAAAAAAAUUGGAAGACAACCUCCGAGUAGAUUCCAGAACAUUCUCCCACAGUGAGUAGGUCCAAUUUGCCUGGUCAGGAAUUUCCUUCCAAAGACAAAAGGUGCAGGGGCUCCAAUUCCAAAAUCUCUCUCCCUGACUCCCAGCCCCACUGAGGGGCAAAAUCCCUGGGAGCUGAGGGCUGCGGGAAGUGGACCUCAGAAGACAACUGGGCCAGCAGCACCAGCGGGAAGAAGAAAAUCAGGCCUCUGGAAACUACCUCUGGCAACAGUCUGAGGAAAGCCUUGGCCCCAGGCCGCUCCUGGGGAGAUUCCGCUUUCACACAUAAAGAAGAACACAUCCGGGAUAAGCCGCUUCCUGGACCUUCAGCCCAGAAUGACCAAGAAACAACAAUCUGCAGGUUGAGACCCCAGCUGCCAGACCGCAAGCCCAGCAGGACACGGAGCACGUGGCCCGCAGGUUCCGCGGAUCCAGAGAGUCCCACUUAAGAGGAAAUUCUGCAAGGAAAUGCGUCUCGCAGCCACACGAGGGCCCCAUUCAAAGCUCCCUCCAGCCACCAGCCCGGUUCGCCUCUUGAGGAGUUUUCCAAUUUAUUUGCCUUUCUCUCCCUGGUUUAAAAACACUAUUCUUGUGAUUACAAAAUGGUAUAAAAUAUUCGUGCUCCUAUGACAAAAUAAAGAACAUUUAAGUUAGAAAA